GAUUUUAUUUAAAAGAUGUUUUGAAAGCAUUUUGAAAGGAAUAUUUCUUUAAAGUCA
rnacentral:tRNA from 1 species